UACGUAGGUGGCAAGCGUUGUCCGGAAUUAUUGGGCGUAAAGAGCUCGUAGGCGGUUUGUCGCGUCUGCUGUGAAAACUCGGGGCUUAACUCCGGGCCUGCAGUGGGUACGGGUAGACUAGAGUGCGGUAGGGGAGACUGGAAUUCCUGGUGUAGCGGUGAAAUGCGCAGAUAUCAGGAGGAACACCGGUGGCGAAGGCGGGUCUCUGGGCCGUAACUGACGCUGAGGAGCGAAAGCGUGGGGAGCGAACAGG
rnacentral:rRNA from 1 species